rnacentral:rRNA from 1 species
ACGAACGCUGGCGGCGUGCCUAAUACAUGCAAGUCGAACGCUUCUUUCCUCCCGAGUGCUUGCACUCAAUUGGAAAGAGGAGUGGCGGACGGGUGAGUAACACGUGGGUAACCUACCCAUCAGAGGGGGAUAACACUUGGAAACAGGUGCUAAUACCGCAUAGCAGUUUAUGCCGCAUGGCAUAAGAGUGAAAGGCGCUUUCGGGUGUCGUUGAUGGAUGGACCCGCGGUGCAUUAGCUAGUUGGUGAGGUAACGGCUCACCAAGGCCACGAUGCAUAGCCGACCUGAGAGGGUGAUCGGCCACACUGGGACUGAGACACGGCCCAGACUCCUACGGGAGGCAGCAGUAGGGAAUCUUCGGCAAUGGACGAAAGUCUGACCGAGCAACGCCGCGUGAGUGAAGAAGGUUUUCGGAUCGUAAAACUCUGUUGUUAGAGAAGAACAAGGACGUUAGUAACUGAACGUCCCCUGACGGUAUCUAACCAGAAAGCCACGGCUAACUACGUGCCAGCAGCCGCGGUAAUACGUAGGUGGCAAGCGUUGUCCGGAUUUAUUGGGCGUAAAGCGAGCGCAGGCGGUUUCUUAAGUCUGAUGUGAAAGCCCCCGGCUCAACCGGGGAGGGUCAUUGGAAACUGGGAGACUUGAGUGCAGAAGAGGAGAGUGGAAUUCCAUGUGUAGCGGUGAAAUGCGUAGAUAUAUGGAGGAACACCAGUGGCGAAGGCGGCUCUCUGGUCUGUAACUGACGCUGAGGCUCGAAAGCGCGGGGAGCAAACAGGAUUAGAUACCCUGGUAGUCCACGCCGUAAACGAUGAGUGCUAAGUGUUGGAGGGUUUCCGCCCUUCAGUGCUGCAGCAAACGCAUUAAGCACUCCGCCUGGGGAGUACGACCGCAAGGUUGAAACUCAAAGGAAUUGACGGGGGCCCGCACAAGCGGUGGAGCAUGUGGUUUAAUUCGAAGCAACGCGAAGAACCUUACCAGGUCUUGACAUCCUUUGACCGCUCUAGAGAUAGAGCUUUCCCUUCGGGGACAAAGUGACAGGUGGUGCAUGGUUGUCGUCAGCUCGUGUCGUGGGAUGUUGGGUUAAGUCCCGCAACGAGCGCAACCCUUAUUGUUAGUUGCCAUCAUUUAGUUGGGCACUCUAGCGAGACUGCCGGUGACAAACCGGAGGAAGGUGGGGAUGACGUCAAAUCAUCAUGCCCCUUAUGACCUGGGCUACACACGUGCUACAAUGGGAAGUACAACGAGUCGCUAGACCGCGAGGUCAUGCAAAUCUCUUAAAGCUUCUCUCAGUUCGGAUUGCAGGCUGCAACUCGCCUGCAUGAAGCCGGAAUCGCUAGUAAUCGCGGAUCAGCACGCCGCGGUGAAUACGUUCCCGGGCCUUGUACACACCGCCCGUCACACCACGAGAGUUUGUAACACCCGAAGUCGGUGAGGUAACCUUUUUGGAGCCAGCCGCCUAAGGUGGGAUAGAUGAU